GACGAACGCUGGCGGCGUGCUUAACACAUGCAAGUCGAACGGAAAGGCCCUGCUUUUGUGGGGUGCUCGAGUGGCGAACGGGUGAGUAACACGUGUGUAACCUCCCCUUGACUUUGGGAUAACUUCAGGAAACUGGGGCUAAUACCGGAUAGGAGCUCCUGCUGCAUGGUGGGGGUUGGAAAGUUUCGGCGGUUGGGGAUGGACUCGCGGCUUAUCAGCUUGUUGGUGGGGUAGUGGCUUACCAAGGCUUUGACGGGUAGCCGGCCUGAGAGGGUGACCGGCCACAUUGGGACUGAGAUACGGCCCAGACUCCUACGGGAGGCAGCAGUGGGGAAUAUUGCACAAUGGGCGGAAGCCUGAUGCAGCAACGCCGCGUGCGGGAUGACGGCCUUCGGGUUGUAAACCGCUUUCGCCUGUGACGAAGCGUGAGUGACGGUAAUGGGUAAAGAAGCACCGGCUAACUACGUG
rnacentral:rRNA from 1 species